UACGAAGGGGCUAGCGUUGCUCGGAAUCACUGGGCGUAAAGGGUGCGUAGGCGGGUUUUAAGUCAGAGGUGAAAUCCUGGAGCUCAACUCCAGAACUGCCUUUGAUACUGAGAAUCUUGAGUAUGGGAGAGGUGAGUGGAACUGCGAGUGUAGAGGUGAAAUUCGUAGAUAUUCGCAAGAACACCAGUGGCGAAGGCGGCUCACUGGCCCAUAACUGACGCUGAGGCACGGAAAGCGUGGGGAGCAAACAGG
rnacentral:rRNA from 1 species